GAUUAUUGUUUACCGCUUGCCUUGCUUCACUCCUAAUAGCUUACUCUUUGUCAUAGCAAUUAUUAGACUUACACUCAUAUUCCGCACUUUAGCCUAAAAUUGCUAAGUAAUUAUUAAAAUUUGGAUUUGUACCUAUUCACCCCCCUCUAGGUCCAUCUCGAUCCUUUUCAACACUGCCCGGAAGAACUCUGCUGGCUCAUCCGCUCAUGUCCCUCCUGGCACGGGGUCGGAUGACUCCGAUGGACCACGUCGUCCCUUCAAACGGGUCGCCCGGCGUCCUCCUCAACAGCUCCACUCCUCGUCUGAUGGAUCUGACUUCGAGGAUGAGUU
rnacentral:lncRNA from 1 species